UACGUAGGGUGCAAGCGUUGUCCGGAAUCAUUGGGCGUAAAGCGCGCGUAGGUGGCUUCGUAAGUCCGUUGUGAAAGUCAAAGGCUCAACCUUUGAAUGCCGAUGGAUACUGCGAAGCUAGAGUACGGAAGAGGCGAGUGGAAUUCCUGGUGUAGCGGUGGAAUGCGCAGAUAUCAGGAGGAACACCGGUGGUGCAGACGGCUCUCUGGACCGUAACUGACGCUGAGACACGAAAGCGUGGGUAGCAAACAGG
rnacentral:rRNA from 1 species